GAUCUUGAAGGAGUUUUUACUUUCGGUUAUCUAGCUUUAUGAAGACCAAUACACUCAUACAGCUAGAUAACCAAAGAUAACAACUCGCUUCCCUCACA
ensembl:miRNA